CCUGAACCAUCGGGGGGACCUGCCCGAAAGGCAGCGGCGACGUCGCGUCCGGUCCUCGAGCGUAUGGGGCUUUGUCACUCGCUCGGGAAGGACUGGCGGGAGGUCCGUCCCCCAACUGUAACAUUUUUUUUUUUUGUUUUCCACGGUUGACCUCGGAUCAGGUAGGAGU
rnacentral:rRNA from 1 species